rnacentral:rRNA from 1 species
UACGUAGGAUGCUAGCGUUGUCCGGAUUUACUGGGCGUAAAGCGCGCGCAGGCGGCACUGUAAGUAAGGUGUGAAAUAUCCCUGCUCAACGGGGAGGGUGCACUUUAGACUGCAGAGCUAGAGGACGGUAGAGGGGGGUGGAAUUGCUGGUGUAGCGGUGAAAUGCGUAGAGAUCAGCAGGAACACCCGUGGCGAAGGCGGCCCCCUGGGACGGUACUGACGCUGAGACGCGAAAGCGUGGGGAGCGAACAGG